rnacentral:lncRNA from 1 species
GGUCACAGUGACCGCCACCGUUGCCAAGGGAUGGGUCCCUGAGACUUGGCGAAGUGGGAGCCCUGUGUGAUCGUGCGUCAGAGUCGGGGCUGAGACCAGCCCCGGCCAGGGUAGUUACCGGGACGGUCUCCGGAGGCCGGGAUUCGCGGAGGGUCCACCAGCAGGAAGAAACCCCAGGAGGAAGAAACCUCAGACAGAUCGCCGGGGAGGCAGCGCGGGAUCCCAGCCUCAGGCGUGCGCGGACGGUGUGCGGGUCAGCCAAAGAGGAGCAAAGAGUCAUCUACCUCAAUCAUGUUCAGGAAAUGAUCAGGUCAAGAUGUGGAGUGAGCAAGCUUUUCUCUUUUGUGCCACAUUUUCUGACCCAGUAUUUCAAGCUACCCAAGGUGCGAAAAAGAAAGAAGGCCGAAGGGAAGAAGGUGGUGCUCACCCUUGCUGUCUUGAAAAAGCAGGAGACCAUGAAAGUGGUGAAUCUUCCAUUUGAGAAAUUUGGCACUGGACAGGACAUUUUGGCAUUGGACAGAACAUCCAGCCCAAAAGGGACCUCACUUACUUUGUCAAAUGGCCCCAUUAUACUAGGUUGCAGCAGCAGAGAGCCAUCCUCUAUAAACAGCUAGAAGUGCCUUCUGUGAUUAAUCAGUUCACCAGGGCCUUGGACCACCAAACAGCUGCUCAAUGGGGGCCCAGUGCAAAAUGACGUGGAUGUUGUACCUCGUUCAAAGUGUUAAGCGUUUCAAGAUGGCAACAGCAGAGCAUUAGGCCAAGUAUGAGGUCAUUAUGUACAUGGGUCCUUGUGUGACCACACAGGUCACAGGAACAUGAAGCUAGACCUGAGUGUAUAUUCAGAUAGGUAAAUCUUACAGAUUUUUAAAACUCAAUAAAAGAAAAACUACAUUUCAUGUGUGAACACAAAAAUUGGAAUUAAAUUGGCAAUAGCAUUGGGAUUUGUGCUCAGAGUCACAGUUUACAUCUGACCACAAUUUCUAUAUGAAUUUUUUAAGAUAAAACAGUAAGAAUUUUAGAGAAGGUUUCUGAAAUUUAAAAAUUAUAAUAACAUAAUUAACUUUGAUAUUUUAAUUCCAUGUAAUUUAAAACAUUUAAUAGAUAUAUAAUGUUCCACUAUUAAUUUAACUAGAAGUAUAAAAAUAAAACAUAUAUAAUAAAAAUAUUCUACUGAUUUUUAAAUUAUCUAUAUUAUACUGAGUAAAAGAAAAUUUAGGAAUAUAAAUAAAUGAGCAUUUUUGAACAUGUAAAAAUAUUUUCUUGCUGUUUUUAGGAGACUUUUAGCAGGACAGGAGCUUACCUCUCAUCUACCUCUGCUUGGACAAACCAGUGAUGUGAUUUGCAAAUAGGCUGUAACUUCACCGAAAACACAUCACAGUAAAGAAAAGCAGUGACUUUCAGAGAAUUUGACCUAACUUAGAAUUUGUAAAAGAGAAAAGCAUUGUCCUUAUGCCUAAAGUACAUGACUGUUUCUUUUUAAGUUACAUGUAUAUUUACCUGACCAAUUUGUUUUACUCUGUAUUUUAAGUUAUCAGGUGAAAUGGUUUUGGAAUAAAUUAAUGAGUUGUUUGUUCUGAAUAAAUGUGCAUGUUACAAGUGCAA